rnacentral:rRNA from 1 species
AACGAACGCUGGCGGCAGGCUUAACACAUGCAAGUCGAACGCCCCGCAAGGGGAGUGGCAGACGGGUGAGUAACGCGUGGGAAUCUACCUAGUUCUACGGAACAACAGAGGGAAACUUCUGCUAAUACCGUAUACGCGCUAAGGGGGAAAGAUUUAUCGGAAUUAGAUGAGCCCGCGUAAGGUUAGCUAGUUGGUGGGGUAAUGGCCUACCAAGGCGACGAUCUUUAGCUGGUCUGAGAGGAUGAUCAGCCACACUGGGACUGAGACACGGCCCAGACUCCUACGGGAGGCAGCAGUGGGGAAUAUUGGACAAUGGGCGCAAGCCUGAUCCAGCCAUGCCGCGUGAGUGAUGAAGGCCUUAGGGUUGUAAAGCUCUUUCAGUGGGGACGAUAAUGACGGUACCCACAGAAGAAGCCCCGGCUAANUUNGUGCCAGCAGCCGCCGUAAUAC